rnacentral:rRNA from 1 species
GCGGCAUGGAUUUGGCAUGCAAGUCGAGCGAGAAGGGUUUUGAAGCUUGCUUUAGAACCCGGAAAGCGGCGCAAGGGAGAGUAACGAGUAGUUAUCUACCCCAAGGCCCGGAAUAGCUGCGGGAAACUGCAGGUAAUGCCGGAUAAUAUCCCCGGAUCAAAGGUGUGAUUCCGCCUUGGGAGGAGACUGCUUUGUACUAGCUAGUUGGUAGGGUAAUGGCCUACCAAGGCUACGAUGCAUAGCGGGCGUGAGAGCGUGGCCCGUCUCACUGGGACUGAAACACUGCCCAGACACCUACGGGUGGCUGCAGUCGAGAAUCUUCGGCAAUGGGCGAAAGCCUGACCGAGCGAUGCCGCGUGCGGGAUGAAGGCCCUCGGGUUGUAAACCGCUGUCGUAGAGGAGAAAGGUCUGAUGAAGAAUCAGAUUUGAUCUAUUCUAGGAGGAAGUCGGGGCUAAGUUCGUGCCAGCAGCCGCAGUAAUAC